rnacentral:rRNA from 1 species
AUUGAACGCUGGCGGCAGGCCUAAAACAUGCAAGUCGAACGAGUGGCGGACGGGUGAGUAAUGUCUGGGAAAUUGCCUGAUGGAGGGGGAUAAAUACUGGAAACGGUAGCUAAUACCGCAUACCUCCAGAUGGGCCCAGAUGGGUUUAGCUAGUUGGUGGGGUAAAGGCUCACAAAGGCGACGAUCCCUAGCUGGUCUGAGAGGAUGACCAGCCACACUGGAACUUAGACACGGUCCAGACUCCUACGGGAGGCAGCAGUGGGGAAUAUUGCACAAUGGGCGCAAGCCUGAUGCAGCCAUGCCGCGUGUAUGAAGAAAGCCUUCGGGUUGUAAAGUACUUUCAGCGGGGAGGCGUUACCCGCAGAAGAAGCACCGGCUAACUCCGUGCCAGCAGCCGCGGUAAUUC